CAGCCGCCGCGGUAAUACGUAGGGAGCAAGCGUUAUCCGGAUUCAUUGGGCGUAAAGCGCGCGUAGGCGGCUUGUUAAGUCGGGUGUUAAAACGUGGGGCUCAACCCUGCGGCGCAUCCGAUACUGGCAAGCUUGAGUUCGGUAGGGGAGAGUGGAAUUCCCAGUGUAGCGGUGGAAUGCGCAGAUAUUGGGAAGAACACCGGUGGCGAAGGCGGCUCUCUGGGCCGUAACUGACGCUGAGGCGCGAAAGCUGGGGGAGCGAACAGGAUUAGAUACCCUGGUAGUCCCAGCCGUAAACGAUGGACACUAGGUGUGGGGGGAUGAACCUUCCGUGCCGUAGCUAACGCAAUAAGUGUCCCGCCUGGGGAGUACGGUCGCAAGACUAAAACUCAAAGGAAUUGACGGGGGCCCGCACAAGCAGCGGAGCAUGUGGCUUAAUUCGAAGCAACGCGAAGAACCUUACCAGGGCUUGACAUGGUAGUGAAGCGGUGGAAACACCGUGGCCGAAAGGAGCUACCACAGGUGGUGCAUGGCC
rnacentral:rRNA from 1 species